GUGUGUUCAGCUUUCCCUGCUGAAAUAAUGUGACCAAAUCAAGUGUUACCUGGAAAGAGGAAUAUGUCAAGGGUGCUUUUUACAUUAACUCCAAAAUAGCCAUUGGAAAGUUCAAGCCAGAUCUGCUGCUACAGCAAACUGAACAUAAAGUGGCAUACUUGUGUGUCAGGUAAUGAGGAACAUGUAUGGCUGGACUGAGAAUCUAACUGGGGAUCUCUGCAUCACUACUUACAUAUCCAUGGAAACAUAGAAUUCUUGGCUAUAAUCAAGUGUCAUCUGCAGUGUUACAAAAGAAUAUUAGAUUUAUAUCAAUAAG